UCCUCAAGUACCGUCAGAACUUCUUCCUUGAGAAAAGAGGUUUACAACCCACAGGCCGUCAUCCCUCACGCGGUAUUGCUCCGUCAGGCUUUCGCCCAUUGCGGAAAAUUCCCA
rnacentral:rRNA from 1 species